UACGAAGGGUGCUAGCGUUGUUCGGAAUUACUGGGCGUAAAGCGCGCGUAGGCGGCGAUCCAAGUCAGGGGUGAAAUCCCACAGCUCAACUGUGGAAUUGCCUUUGAAACUGUAUUGCUUGAGUGUCGGAGGGGAUAGCGGAAUUGCUAAUGUAGAGGUGAAAUGCGUAGAUAUGAGGAGGAACACCGGUGGCGAAGGCGGCUAUCUGGACGACAACUGACGCUGAGGCGCGAAAGCGUGGGGAGCAAACAGG
rnacentral:rRNA from 1 species